CCUACGGGUGGCAGCAGUGGGGGAUAUUGCACAAUGGGGGGAACCCUGAUGCAGCGACGCCGCGUGGGUGAAGGAGCGUUUCGGCGCGUAAAGCCCUAUCGGCAGGGAAGAAGAUGACGGUACCUGACCCAGAAGCCCCGGCUAACUACGUGCCAGCAGCCGCGGUAAUACGUAGGGGGCCAGCGUUAUCCGGAUUUACGGGGUGUAAAGGGGGCGCAGACGGCAAUGCAAGCCAGGAGUGAAAGCCCGGGGCCCAACCCCGGGACUGCUGGUGGAACUGCAUGGCUGGAGUACAGGAGGGGCAGGCGGAAUUCCUAGUGUAGCGGUGAAAUGCGUAGAUAUUAGGAGGAACCCCGAUUGCGAAGGCAGCAUACCGGUGCACAACUGACGCUCAGGCACGAAAGCGUGGGUAUCGAACAGGAUUAGAUACCCGAGUAGUC
rnacentral:rRNA from 1 species